rnacentral:rRNA from 1 species
AGACGGUGACGUUAAGCAAAUCCCAGAAAUAACGUCCCAGUUCGGAUUGUAGUCUGCAACCCGACUACAUGAAGCUGGAAUCGCUAGUAAUCGCGAAUCAGAAUGUCGCGGUGAAUACGUUCCCGGGUCUUGUACACACCGCCCGUCACACCAUGGGAGUCGGAAAUGCCCGAAGUCAGUGACCCAACCGUAAGGAGGGAGCUGCCGAAGGUGGAGCCGGUAACUGGGGUGAAGUCGUAACAAGGUAAC